ensembl:lncRNA novel transcript
GUCUCAAAAAAACAAAAACAAACAAACAGAGAAGGAGCUGGAUAUGUUGAACUGGCUGAGUCACAGCUUUAAUCAUCAGAGGAGUGCAGUGACACUAAGGACAGUGUAUGGUCCAUUGCUGGAUUUGGAUAUUCUGUGGAACCUAAGCAGAGAGAGAAUUAGUGGUAGGACCUGCAAGAGCUGUCCUGCUGAAAACUAUAAAUAUCAGAAAGUAUGGCUUUAGCAAGAAUUACUGAAAUGGGAGGGGAGAAUUCAACUUCCAUUUGCCAUAAACCAAGCAGCUAUAGCAUCGUGGAAAGCCAGGGUGCUGGUGGUGAUACGGCAGGGUCCCAGCUCUGGGCGAAGCAUGUACUGUGCCCCGCAGGAGGGAGCUUGUUCAUCAGCAUACAGUAGACAUGCCCUGGGACUCCGAGAAGUGCUGAGGACCUCACACAUGAGACACUGCUGUUACUGUGACCCCAGCUCUACCCAUAGGUGGAUCUAAAGAAGGUAGGGUCACAGGAGGACUCAGAGGACUUGCUGCUUCCAUCUGGUGAUGAAUUCUUCUGCCAAAUAAAGCCUAGAGUACCAUGAAGGGUCAGAAGUAUUACAUUGUUCAUUACAAUUAUUUUGCUCAAACAAUUUGUUAAUUCUGUUAUCCUAUUUGUUUGUAGGUGUAGUUCAAUUAAGUGCCAGCCUGCCUUGUAUAUAAUUCUUGGUGUACGCUUGUGUUUUUGAUCAAGAAAAUUGAGCUAUAGUCACUUUCACUUUCUUCUGUUGCUGGGCUGACUAUAUUCUGGAGACCUGAAAUGUCCCUCCAAGGGACAUUUAAUGAAGGUCUCAUUGCCUACUGACCUAUGGGCAUCAGGGAACUGGGCUGAGUUACAGUUAAGGAUGGUGUAUGGCUCUGUCUGCUCUUAACAGCCAUUGACCAAAUUGUACAGCCCCUUUAUUAGAAGUUCUUGAAACCCUAUGUGCACAGCAAGUUUUUCCCUCUCUCUGGUGGACCCUAAACUUCUUUAUUUUUAACAGUGAAUGCGACUGUGUGCCUCUUGGGGGACUUCUCCUGAUGCACAGCCAAAAUGUAAUGUUUUGUUCACUCCUUCCUCUGAGAAGAGGACUGGAUCAGCCUAUGAAUACUAGAAAACAUGCAUUUGAUUUCUGCUUUCAAUCAUUUUUUGAGAUUUAUUGUUCCUGGUUGUGUACCAUUAGACAGAAGUGAUGGGAUCAAUAAAACUUGGAAUUGUCUAACAAGAAAGGGCCAGUUUCUUGCUUAUUAUAUUUGUAAUAACAGAGUCCAUUGGGUAGCACUCCGGUCUGUGAAAGUCAGUGAAUCAAUAAUGCUCUUGUGGUCUGGAUAAUAAUAUACCUUGGCAUGGUGUGAGUGAUGCCAGCAGGUGGGCGGAGAGGCAGGGAAGGAAAGGUCUCAUGCCUUUCAGGUUGACACUAAGAAAGAGGCUUCCAUUCCUUUCCCUGUUCUACCACAUUCUCCUAAUGUGUAUAAGAAAUUAUUCAAAGACAGCAACAGAUUUCCCUCCUGACCUUUAUAGUUGCUGGUUUGGAAUGAUUUUUGGCUGCUUGCUGGAAAAAAAAAUUAUUGCAGAGAUGAAUUGUCAGGACAUCCGCUCCCCUUCCCAUCAGCUUUAUAAACAUUUUGUACUGGAGGCAGUGUGUGUGUGCAGAAGAAACGCUAUGGAAAGUGCUGUAGAAACAAGUGUGGUUUGUUGGCUACCAAAUCUCAAGGCUAUGCUCACUGGUCAGAAUGGUUGGUGUCCAGACCCCCAGCCCCUCAGAUUCUGAGAUGUCUGUGUACCAGGGUAGCACCAGGGAUGGGUUUUCUCUGAGACUGUCUUUUCAUGAUACAGUGUAAAAUGUUUCCCAUGAAAGGGCAGAGCUGAAGAAGCAGUGCAAGUCCAUUUGAAGACCUCUGGAAGGAAACCCCCAGCGGCUCUUUUUUCACUGAACAAGCAUUGUGGGAAUUUGGGGCUCGGCUGUGUAAUUUGUCCUCUUCUCAUUCAUUCAGGUACUAGGAGAGCAGGGCAGUAUGGAAAGGUGCUACUUCAAGGGAAAGGCUUUGAGGUUAUUGCAAAUGGUGGGGGACUGGGGUGGAGUGGGCUACAGGUACAGUGACCAGAAGAUGCUGAAUUCCAAACUGUUUCCUAAAGCCUUUCUUCUGGACUCGACAGUUUUCAAAUCUAAAGAACAUAUUGUGUUGUUUGCAAAGGAAAUAUUGUAAUGGCUUCUUAGUUCAUCCAGGAAAAGAGUCUGUCACUAAUGGGCAUUUUGUAAAAUGAAAUCCUUCUAGGGAGAAGGAUAACUGGUCAGAUUUGAAGGUUAAAAAAAAAGGUCUUGACACUGAUCUCGGUUUGCAGAGAAACAAGAAAUUCUGUCUGACUUCUUUUCAGUGGGAGCUAAAAUUUUAACCACCCCGAUUGCACUCACUUAUAUGAAAACGUUAAUGUUAAACAAAUAGGCAGGGAUUUCUUUUAUUAUUAUUUAUAGAGGAGAAUUUUGCCAUCAGGAAACAUGUUGGCUAAUCUGCUUUGGCCAAAUUCUCCUUAGAGACAGUGAUUAAUAGAAGGAAUGAGUGGAAGAUUAGUAUACGCACAAGGCUAUUCAGGAGUGGGGGUAAAAUGUUAAUGCGGUGACCUUUAAAUCUUCAUUUUUCUUUAUUUCCCUGAAUGCUAAUUAAAGGACAUGUUCAGCACCAGGAGGAAUUUGCAUCCAAGUCCGUCUCCCUGCUAAGUGGUAUUUUGAGAAUUCCGAAGCUUAGUCUCAGAGAAGAGCUGACCUGAACUUGCCGAGGCUCCCACUGCAUUGUAGCUUUUCUCUGGAGAACAAAAACUGCCAUUGUCCAGCAGCUCAUUAGCAUGACUGUACAGCCUCCGGAGUUAGCAAGGUGAUGCAAAAAUAAUAUGACAAGAUCCAUGUCUUCAAUGAGCUACAAUCCUACUGGGACAUGAGACUGUGCUUAUAAUAUGAUGAAAGAAUAAGAAAAUUUUAAAGCUAUAACAGGCAGAGCACAAGAACAAGCAGAGCUAUAACAAGCAGAGCACAAGAAGGAAGAGUGCAGAUCCAGGACUGGGACACUUAACCAAUAAUAAUACAAAUAAUGAAAACACAGCAGCAACAGGUGCCAUUUUGGAAGCAAGAAGCAGAGAACAAGCUCUCACUGGGCAUUAAAUCUGCCGGCAUCUUGAUCUUGAACUUCUCAACCUCCAGAACUCUGAGAAAUAAAUUUCUAUUAUUUACAAA